UACAUUGUCAAUUUACGUCAUAUCCAAGUACCCAUAUCCAAAAAUUGAAAACCAACCUUAAAGCCACACAGAUACCUGACUCUGUGGAACAUAAAACUUCCAUGGUCUAGGUUGUAAGUCCUACCCCAUAAUAACUGUGAGAAAAUUAAUGCCCCAUUUAUUGAAUCAGUAAAAUCUAUAAUGCCUAGACAAUAUAAACAGUAGUUAUAAUUUACAGUAUGUAUUAGCUAAGAUUUUUAAACCUCUGGACAUGGUAAAACAGUAUUCAACUAAGGCACUAUUACACAAUAUAGAAAACCCAGAGAGGUAGAC
rnacentral:lncRNA from 1 species